rnacentral:rRNA from 1 species
UACGGGGGGAGCAAGCGUUGUUCGGGAUUUACUGGGCGUAAAGGGCGCGUAGGCGGCGUGACAAGUCACUUGUGAAAUCUCCGGGCUUAACUCGGAACGGUCAAGUGAUACUGUCGUGCUAGAGUACAGAAGGGGCAACUGGAAUUCUCGGUGGUAGCGGUGAAAUGCGUAGAUAUCGCUUGGAACGCCGAAGGUGAAAACAGGCUGCUGGGGUUGUGACCGGACGCUGGAGACACGAAAGCCAGGGGAGCAAACGGG